UUGGAGGGCAAGUCUGGUGCCAGCAGCCGCGGUAAUUCCAGCUCCAAUAGCGUAUAUUAAAGUUGUUGCAGUUAAAAAGCUCGUAGUUGAAUUUCGAGACCGGUUUAUUGGUCGUGCUUUUGUACGUACUGGUAUAAUCGGUUUCUCUCUUCUGACGAACUAUAAUGCCAUUAAUUUGGUGUUAUGGGAAAUCAGGACUGUUACUUUGAAAAAAUUAGAGUGUUUAAAGCAGGCUUUGGCUUGAAUACAUUAGCAUGGAAUAAUGAAAUAGGACGUUCGAACCUAUUUUGUUGGUUUCUAGGAUCAACGUAAUGAUUAAUAGGGAUAGUUGGGGGCAUUAGUAUUCAAUUGUCAGAGGUGAAAUUCUUGGAUUUAUUGAAGACUAACUACUGCGAAAGCAUUUGCCAAGGAUGUUUUCAUUAAUCAAGAACGAAAGUUAGGGGAUCGAAGACGAUCAGAUACCGUCGUAGUCUUAACCAUAAACUAUGCCGACUAGGGAUCGGAUGAUGUUAAUUUUUUAAUGACUCAUUCGGCGCCUUACGGGAAAC
rnacentral:rRNA from 1 species